rnacentral:lncRNA from 1 species
UGACAGGUACAGGUUGGUAAGGUACGCAGUCAGGUAGCCAAUAGGACUUUUUCCUCCUGUCAUGCAGAAGCGUUCGAUUGUUAAGCCAUAGUGAUUAAUGCUGUUUAUGAGCCUCACUCCCACUUGGGCAUGGUUGUUAGUCAUCAGAACAAUGUCAAAUCGUUCUUCAUCAUCAGGGUACAGUUCGAGAAGCCUGGCAUUGACAUGUUCUAGUGCCUUGACGAAGUGAAACGCCGGUCCGGGCUUCAGGGUGACGUUCUCGUUCUCCUGCUGGUACUCCACGUACUUCUCCACCCCUUGCUCCUCGUAGAUCCGCCGCUCCUCCACCAGGUCGAAGAGGGCUCGGGACGAGACGGCCACCGUGAUGGCAUGCUGAGGCUUGGGCGGCCGCGGUCUCUUGGUGACCAGGUUAUCGUAGAAGGCCUUGGCCGCUUCCCAGUCCCGCUCGGCUUCCUGCAGCCGGCUCUCCUCGGCGCUCCCGGGCUGCGGCGCGUCCGGCCCGGAGCCACUCAUGGUGCCGGGGGACGGGGCGCGCCUUACGGGCGCGGCCAGAGCUCAGCACCGGGAAGCGGCGGGGCCGCCCCGCCCCGUUCGGGCAGGGGAAGGCGGUGGCUUUCCCUUUCGCUCCAGCCCAGCAGCACCCGCCCCUGGGGCAGCGGGGACAGAGAGCGUCCGCGCCCUACUUGAUGUUAGGCAACACCCGCCGGCGCUGAUCUGAUCUACAGAUGAGAUUUUAUCUGCGGCACUUAGAGAUUUAUUUAUUAACGUUGGCUAGAAGAAGUUUGUGGUGAAAAAAGAAAAAAAAGAUAAAAAAUACGGUAAUAAGGGUCCGGUUGGCCAUGGAGCAGCCUGGGGUCCAUGCAGCUCUUAGGAAUGGUCAUUUAAACGAUAGCAUUUGGCUUGCGUGUAGUGAGCUCAAUGAGCUGUCAUUCUGGCAGGUGGACUGAUGCUAAAAAACAGGAUCCCGCAUAGGGACACUUACAUAACAUGGCCUACUUAUCUCAUGCAUACCGCUUGGAAAUGCUCCCGGCCUAUCUGAACCGCUGCAGCGCUCCCCGUGCUGAUGGGCCAGAGGUGGUGGUGGGGAAGGAGGCAGUUCUGCUGCCUGGGCUCAGUGCAUUCACAGCCGCUGUUGACAAGCGACGACCCCACAGUGUCAGCACACAGCUCAGUUCAGAGGAGUUGAAGGCAGACCCUAAACGCACCUCAGCCCCUUGCUGUUGUGUAAUCUUCAGCAAAUCAUGUGCUUUCUGCCUCUGUCCAUCCCCAAAAGGCGUUUGCUGCUUUUGCCUGCUUUUUUUUUUUUUUCUUCUAAACAGAAUUUCCUGAUGCAAGGAAGCUUAUAUGAUCAUACCAUCUGUCCAUCGUUCCCCAGUGAUGCCCAGUUCCAGAUGAAUUUGACAGAAGGAUAAAGAUCUCAAAGAGAUUUAAAUUCUCCAAACGUUUAAUGCCCAUCAGCAGCAGCCUCCAGGAAAAGCCUGUACUGCAAAUGCAGUAUAUUAAUCUGCUUGUUCUUGUGCUACAUAACAGUGAAUGAAUGCUGCCUGGCUGCCUGCCUUCUCCAGUCAGCCCUAUUGCCCAUGGUCCCAUUGAGCACAGGGGGUCUGGAGCGGUAGGAGCUUUGUGGAAGGUAAGCAAUGGGCAGAGCUGACCCAACUGGGUUAGGAGGGCUGUCAUAAAACCAUGACAGAGGUGCAUGGGGAGUACCUGAGAGUAGUUAUUAGGAGGUCAGAUAGGAAGAGAGGAGUUGGGGUUAUUGUAACCGGUUGUUGUCAAAUUGCAACAUCAAAGGCAAACACAAAUCUGAAUGAAUCUGGAUUUAGUGGAUCUGCUACUAAUAGGUGUAGUUUGAUGACCAUACAAAGCUGGGAGGAGCGGCUGACACAUCGGAAGGCUGUGCUGCCAUUCACUGAGACCUGGACAAGCUGCAGAGUUGGGUAGAGAAGAACCUGAUGAACUUCAACAAGAGCAAGUGUAGGGUCCUGCACCUGGGAAGGAAUAACCACAUGCAUCAGUACAGGUUAGGGGAUGACCUGCUGGAGAGGAGCCCUACAGAGAAAGACCUAGGUGUCCUGGUUGAACAGCAGGUUGGCCAUAUGACAGCGGUGUGCCCUUGAGGCCAAGAAGGCCAAUGGUAUCUGCAUCAUGAACAGUGUAGCCAGUAGGUUGAGGGACGUGAUCCUCCCCCUCUCCUCUGCCCUCAUCUCAGAUGAGGGCCACAUCUGGAGGACUGUAUUCAGUUCUGAGUUCUUCACUUCAGAAAAGACAGGGAUCUCCUAGAAAGGGUCUAGGAGGACCACAACAGGGGACCACAGAGAUUAUUGAGGGCCUGUAGCAUCUCCUGCACAAGGCUGAGACCUGGGACUGUUUGACUCGGAGAAGAGAAAGCUAAGAGGGGAUCUCGUGACUGUUUAUAAAUACCUGAAGUGCAGGCAUCAAAAGGAUGGGGCCAGACUCUUUUCAGUGCCAUGCAGUGACAGAACAAGAGGCAAAGGGCAGAAACUGGAACACAGGAAGUUCCAAACAAACACAAGGAAGUAAUACUUUACAGGGAGUGUGACAGAGCACUGGAAUAAGCUGCCCAGAGAGGUUGUGGAGUCUCUUUCUCUGGAGAUAUUCAAGACCUGUCUGGAUACUUUCUGUGCAACCCACUGUAGGGAACUUGCUUUAGCAUCUAGGUUGAAAUAGAUGAUCUCCAAGGUCCCUUCCAACCCCUCCGAUUCUGUGAUUCUUUUCCCUGAGUUUUGAUCCUGAACGUUUCCCUACAGUGUCUGUACUCAAAGCUGCUGCAUGACAUGCUACUGAGAACCCCCUCUCCUUCCUGCAGUCAGAUCAGGCAAAUCCCUGCAUAUCUGUCAGCAUCCAGCAUGGGGAAAAGCUGGAAAAGGGGAUUCAGCCAUAGAGCUGCAUCUGGUCCCAGUCAUUCUCACUGUCCUGCUGAGAAGCUUUAGCACCAGCCUGAUGAGGUGCUCUCUAAUAAGAUGCUACUCAUGCAUCCAGUCCUGGUUAAGUGCUGCAGUUGGUGAAUUGCCUUUUAUUGAAUGGUUUUAUUUUUGUUCCCUCAACCCAAGGAAAAGAGUUAUCGCUGAAGGACUGAAGGCUCCUUUUAACCUUUGCAAGGCAUCUGAAAAUGUAAAAGAUGGUAACUUGGUUCUGGUCCCAAGCAGUGCUGUUGAAGUGGUGCUGCUGAAAGCAAUGCUAUGCUAACAUAAAUAUUUGACUCUCAAUACCCACAUGAUAUCUCUG